rnacentral:rRNA from 1 species
CCCUGCCCUUUGUACACACCGCCCGUCGCUACUACCGAUUGAAUGGCUCAGUGAGGCUUUCGGACUGGCCCAGAGAGGUGGGUGACUACCACUCAGGGCCGGAAAGUUAUCCAAACUCGGUCAUUUAGAGG